rnacentral:piRNA from 1 species
UUCCAUGAAAGAUUUCGAAGAGAUGA